rnacentral:lncRNA from 1 species
UUUUUUUUUUUUUUUGACAAUCUGUAUCAACCAACGUAUAUUUUGAGACUCUGGAUGUCAUAUUUUCUUUUUUUUUAACUGAGUUGCACUUGUUUGUGUAGAAGCUUACUUUUAUUCAGUGAAUAUUCAGUGAAAUAUUAAACCAAAAAGCAGCAGUCUAAUUCAGAAUCCUAAGCACCAAAAAAGUAGUAGUCAUUAAGGCAUUAAUUUCUAGAGAUGCUAAACAAUCUUACUUUGAGAGCAAUUUUUUUCAAACUAUGUUGCUAACUGAGAGCAAUUUUUUUCAAACUAUGUUGCUAACUGAUGUUAUUUAGACAACACAGUGACAACCACACAAAAUGUAUUCUGCUUUGAAAGACUUUUCCUUAGAUUUAGAUCAUAUUCAUUAAAAAAGUCUCCUGAAUUGUCCUUCUUUACUCUAUUUGUAGCAUUGAAAUUAUAAAGACCUGCAAAAGUCAGCCUUAUGAUUUUUUGCUAUUAGUACCUCUCAUGCAUACAGUGAGGCGCAUAAUUACAGUGUAUGUACUUGCUUAACAUUUUCAUUUAAAAUGAUGUUGAGUUCAGGUUUAUUGUUCUUAUGAGUUACUGGCUGGGCUUAAAACACAACAUUAAAGUAUUGCAACAAAAAUUCACCCUCAUCUUUACUAGGUCAACUCAUGUUUGUCCUUUCAGCUCUGACAAGAUAGUUUUCACAUAUCAUCUAUGAAUGGAGCAUAUCAAACUCACAAAACAACAUGGGUAUAACCCUGCUACCUCCUAAAUAUGUUCCAAAAUUCCCACUAAAUUAGUCUUCAAGUCCCCAUUUCUUUCUUCUGAUGACGUCCUCUUUCCAGUACACACAAAUCACUGAUAAAAAGAGUAUGAAUCUCGUACUUGACUGUAGCAUAGGCAGAGGCUUGCUACUGCUAAUAAAGUAGGAAAUGCUUAUUCUAGCCACAUGCUCAUAUUCUUGCUACUUUAUCUUCUAGUUCUGGUUUAUGAAAUAUUAACUAAUAGCUUACAAAGACAGUAGCCUGGUUAUACUUCCUGUGCUUAUUGGUAUUAGAAUAUCAACAGAAAGUUU